AAAUUGGUUUUGUAUUCAAAUAUUUAGAUAUUGGAACGCCGCGACUGCUCGACAUAAUAGUAUUUUUUCGCUUUUAGAAUAGUAAUUUCUUUAUAUUUGUUAUAUAUUAUUUCUGUCUAUUGAACCAUAGUAAUGUAUUAUUGUUUUAAAAUAUAAAACUAAGCAAUUUGGGGGAAGAGGAAGCACCAAGAUGGGACAGAAACACCGAGAAACAUGACAUAGGAAUAGAUGUAGGUAGGGUAGGUA